rnacentral:rRNA from 1 species
AGCUUGCUCUCUGGGUGGCGAGUGGCGGACGGGUGAGGAAUACAUCGGAAUCUACUCUGUCGUGGGGGAUAACGUAGGGAAACUUACGCUAAUACCGCAUACSACCUACGGGUGAAAGCMGGGGACCUUCSGGCCUUGCGCSAUUGAAUGAGCCGAUGUCGGAUUARCUAGUUGGCGGGGUAAAGGCCCACCAAGGCGACRAUCCGUAGCUGGUCUGARAGGAUGAUCMGCCMCRCUGGAACUGAAACACGGUCCARACUCCUACGGGAGGCAUCRGUGGGGAAUAUUGGACAAUGGGCGCAAGCCUGAUCCAGCCMUACCGCGUGGGUGAAGAAGGCCUUSGGGUUGUAAARCCCUUUUGUUGGGAAARAAAUCCA